rfam:Marine metagenome 1095901480544, whole genome shotgun sequence.
AUUCGUUCACCCUAUAUUGGGCGCAGUCCGAGCUAUACCAUGGAACGGGGGAUAGC